rnacentral:rRNA from 1 species
GACGAACGCUGGCGGCGUGCCUAAUACAUGCAAGUUGAGCGAUGAAGCUUGGUGCUUGCACCAAUUUGAAGAGCAGCGAACGGGUGAGUAACGCGUGGGGAAUCUGCCUUUGAGCGGGGGACAACAUUUGGAAACGAAUGCUAAUACCGCAUAAUAACUUUAAACAUAAGUUUUAAGUUUGAAAGAUGCAAUUGCAUCACUCAAAGAUGAUCCCGCGUUGUAUUAGCUAGUUGGUGAGGUAAAGGCUCACCAAGGCGAUGAUACAUAGCCGACCUGAGAGGGUGAUCGGCCACAUUGGGACUGAGACACGGCCCAAACUCCUACGGGAGGCAGCAGUAGGGAAUCUUCGGCAAUGGACGAAAGUCUGACCGAGCAACGCCGCGUGAGUGAAGAAGGUUUUCGGAUCGUAAAACUCUGUUGGUAGAGAAGAACGUUGGUGAGAGUGGAAAGCUCAUCAAGUGACGGUAACUACACAGAAAGGGACGGCUAACUACGUG